UACGGAGGAUCCGAGCGUUAUCCGGAUUUAUUGGGUUUAAAGGGUGCGUAGGCGGCCUUAUAAGUCAGGGGUGAAAUACGGCAGCUCAACUGUCGCAGUGCCUUUGAUACUGUAGGGCUUGAAUCUAUUUGAAGUGGGCGGAAUAAGACAAGUAGCGGUGAAAUGCAUAGAUAUGUCUUAGAACUCCGAUUGCGAAGGCAGCUCACUAAGUUAGUAUUGACGCUGAUGCACGAAAGCGUGGGGAUCGAACAGG
rnacentral:rRNA from 1 species